rnacentral:lncRNA from 1 species
GAGAACAAACAGCAACAUCCUGCAUCUCUACAACAAAAUGAGGAAUUUGCCAGCAUAGUGGUUCACGCCUUUAAUCCUAGCACUUUGGGAGGUGAAGGUGGGCGGAUCACUUGAGGUCAGGAGUUGGAGAUCAUCCUGGCUAACAUGGUGAAACUCCAUCUCUACUAAAAACACAAAACAUUAGCUGGGCAUGGUGGCAGGUGCCUAUAUUGUAAUCCCAGUUAAUCAGGAGACUGAGGCAGGGAAAUUGCUUGAACAAGAGGCAGAGGUUGCAGUCAGGCGAGAUCAGAUCAGUGCACUCCAGCCUGGGUGACAGACUGAGACUCUGUCUCAAAAAAAAAAAAAGCAAACAACAAAAAAAAAAAAGUGGCUUUUUCCAAAAAAGCAAAUCAGCCUGUGACCCUCUGGGGAGGCCCCACCCUCAGCAUUCUUCCAUUUCCCAAAAGGGGAUAGGGGUUACUAUGGGAACUGAGGAUGGGGGAUGGGACGGGGAGACAGGGGGAGGGGAUCUGGUCUGGGUUGCUGAAGAAUUCCUACCUCUAUCGUAGUAGGAGUGACCCACUCACCCCAGCCUGAGGCCAAGGUGCAAAUGUCCUGCCCUCUCCCUCAGGACUCCUGCCUCCCAUGAGGCAGGUCUUGCCUUGGAGAUAGGGGCUGGGACUAUCCACUUGGGCCAGAAAGAAAGUGAAGGCUUGCCAGGCCCAGUGGUUCACACCUGUCAUCCAUGCUACUUUGGGGAAAGUCCAAGCAGGCAGCAUUCAUUGAGGUCGAUGUUCGACGAGACGAAGCC